UACGUAGGGCGCAAGCGUUGUCCGGAAUUAUUGGGCGUAAAGAGCUCGUAGGCGGUCUGUCGCGUCUGCUGUGAAAACCUGGGGCUUAACCCCGGGCCUGCAGUGGGUACGGGCAGACUAGAGUGCGGUAGGGGAGACUGGAAUUCCUGGUGUAGCGGUGAAAUGCGCAGAUAUCAGGAGGAACACCGGUGGCGAAGGCGGGUCUCUGGGCAACAACUGACGCUGAGGAGCGAAAGCGUGGGAGCGAACAGG
rnacentral:rRNA from 1 species